rnacentral:rRNA from 1 species
UGUGGAAAGGGUUUUACUGGUUUUGGAUGGGCUCACGGCCUAUCAGCUUGUCGGUGGGGUAAUGGCCUACCAAGGCGACGACGGGUAGCCGGCCUGAGAGGGUGACUGGCCACACUGGUACUGACACACGGCCCAGACUCCUACGGGAGGCACUCAGUGGGGAAUAUUGCACAAUGGGCGAAAGCCUGAUGCAGCGACGCCGCGUGAGGGAUGACGGCCUUCGGGUUGUAAACCUCUUUCAGCACGGAAUAAGCGAAAGUGACGGUACGUGCAUAAGAAGCGCCGGCUAACUACGUGCCAUCAGCCGCGGUAAUACGUAGGGCGCAAGCGUUGUCCGGAAUUAUUGGGCGUAAAGAGCUCGUAGGCGGUUUGUCGCGUCUGCUGUGAAAGCCCGGGGCUUAACCCCGUGGUGUGCAGUGGGUACGGGCAGACUAUAGUGCAGUAGGGGAGACUGGAAUUCCUGGUGUAUCGGUGAAAUGCGCAGAUAUCAGGAGGAACACCGAUGGCGAAGGCAGGUCUCUGGGCUGUUACUGACGCUGAGGAGCGAAAGCAUC